rnacentral:rRNA from 1 species
AAACCGCUCCCGAGGAUCUAUUGGAGGGCAAGUCUGGUGCCAGCAGCCGCGGUAAUUCCAGCUCCAAUAGCGUAUAUUAAAGUUGUUGUGGUUAAAAAGCUCGUAGUUGGAUUUCGGCGGGUAGUGGUCGGUUUGAAUUGCUUCAACACUGGCUUUUUUACCCGUGUGUUUUGCCAGAAUUUAACGGGUGAUCUUCGCCGAUUGUCCGUUAGAACUGGCAGGUUUACUUUGAAAAAAUUAGAGUGCUCAAAGCAAGCUUGAUUGCUUGAAUAUUCGUGCAUGGAAUAAUAGAAUAGGAAGUCGUUUCUAGUUUGUUGGUUUUCGGAAAUCGACUUAAUGAUUAAUAGGGAUAGUCGGGGGCAUUUGUAUUCAAACGACAGAGGUGAAAUUCUUGGACCGUUUGAAGACAAACUACUGCGAAGGCAUUUGCCAAGAAUGUUUUCAUUAAUCAAGAACGAAAGUUAGAGGUUCGAAGGCGAUUAGAUACCGCCCUAGUUCUAACCAUAAACGAUGCCAGCUAGCGAUCUGCCGGUGCUUGAUUUUCUGGCCCGGCAGGCAGCUUCCGGGAAACCAAAGCUUGUGGGUUCCAGGGGAAGUAUGGUUGCAAAGCUGAAACUUAAAGGAAUUGACGGAAGGGCACCACCAGGAGUGGAGCCUGUGGCUUAAUUUGACACAACACGGGAAAUCUCACCAGGCCCGGACACCAGAAGGAUUGACAGAUUGAUAGCUCUUUCUUGAUUUGGUGGGUGGUGGUGCAUGGCCGUUCUUAGUUGGUGGAGUGAUUUGUCUGGUUAAUUCCGAUAACGAACGAGACUCUGUCCUGUUAAAUAGAUCCAACCUAGUUGUAGGGUUGGAAUGUCUUCUUAGAGGGACUGGUGAUUAUUAGUCACACGAGAUUGAGCAAUAACAGGUCUGUGAUGCCCUUAGAUGUUCUGGGCCGCACACGCGCUACACUGAAGUGAUCAGCUAGUUUUUCCCUCUCCGAGAGGAGCGGGUAAACUGUUGAACCCACUUCGUGGUAGGGAUCGGAGCUUGCAAUUAUUCUCCGUGAACCAGGAAUUCCCAGUAGGUGCAAGUCAUAAGCUUGCAUCGAUUACGUCCCUGCUCUUUGUACACACCGCCCGUCGCUACUACCGAUUGAGUGUUUUAGUGAGGACCUCGGAUUGCUUGCCUGGCGGUUAACGCUGCCUAGCUGGCGAAAAGACGUCCAAACUGUAGCACUUAGAGGAAGUAAAAGUC